UCCCAGGUGGCUCAGAUGGUAAAGAAUCUGCCUGCAACACAGGAGUCCCAGGUUCAAUCCCUGGGUUGGGAA
rnacentral:tRNA from 1 species